GAUGAACGCUGGCGGCAUGCCUAACACAUGCAAGUCGAGCGAACGGACGAGUAGUUUCCCUCUCUGAUGUUUGCGGCGCACGGGUGUGUUACACGUGGAUAACCCCCCUAUUAGACUGGAACCACUUCGGGAAACCAGAGCUACCACCGACUAUUAUCUUGAACCGCCUGGUUCAAAAGUGAAAUACGGCCUUGCUGUCACUCAUUGACGGAUCCGCGCUGCAUUAGCUAGUUGGGAAGGUAACGGCUUACCAAGGCAACGAUGCAUAGCCGACCUGAGAGGGUGAUCGGCCACACUGGAACUGAGACACGGUCCAGACUCCUACGGGAGGCAGCAGUAGGGAAUCUUCCGCAAUGGGCGAAAGCCUGACGGAGCAACGCCGCGUGAGUGAUGAAGGUCUUCGGAUCGUAAAACUCUGUUAUUAGGGAAGAACAUAUGUGUAAGUAACUGUGCACAUCUUGACGGUACCUAAUCAGAAAGCCACGGCUAACUACGUG
rnacentral:rRNA from 1 species